CACGUAGGGGGCAAGCGUUGUCCGGAUUCAUUGGGCGUAAAGAGCUCGUAGGCGGUUCGAUAAGUCGGGUGUGAAACCUCCAGGCUCAACCUGGAGACGCCACCCGAUACUGUCGUGACUAGAGUCCAGUAGGGGAGCGUGGAAUUCCUGGUGUAGCGGUGAAAUGCGCAGAUAUCAGGAGGAACACCAGCGGCGAAGGCGGCGCUCUGGGCUGGAACUGACGCUGAGGAGCGAAAUCGUGGGGAGCGAACAGG
rnacentral:rRNA from 1 species